UCCAGAGUCCAGACUCGACAGAAAACGCAGUUAGAGGAAACUUCCACCCAAGCAGACGUUGAGGCCCAGAUUUCCCUGCCAAGCACUCUUAAGACUCAUCAUGCUCGGAGAGUCCAUUCUGGGGGCAAAUAGGUGGAUGCUUUCCAUCGAGGGCAGAGAUCUCCAACCAAAUCCAACUGAGUGACCGUUCCGAAUUCACUUCUGCUCUGGCUGUGCUUUUUGCAUCAUACUAUAUAUU